rnacentral:rRNA from 2 species
AAGUCGUAACAAGGUUUCCGUAGGUGAACCUGCGGAAGGAUCAUUAGUGAUUGCCAUCUUGGCUUAAACUAUAUCCAUCUACACCUGUGAACCGUUUGAUUGAAUCUUCUGAUUCAAUUUUACAAACAUUGUGUAAUGAACGUCAUUAGAUCAUAACAAAAAAAAACUUUUAACAACGGAUCUCUUGGCUCUCGCAUCGAUGAAGAACGCAGCGAAAUGCGAUAAGUAAUGUGAAUUGCAGAAUUCAGUGAAUCAUCGAAUCUUUGAACGCAACUUGCGCUCUCUGGUAUUCCGGAGAGCAUGCCUGUUUGAGUGUCAUGAAAUCUCAACCAUUAGGGUUUCUUAAUGGCUUGGAUUUGGAGGUUGCCAUUCUAAAUGGCUCCUCUUAAAGGAGUUAGCAAGUUUUACUAUUGCUAUCUGGCGUAAUAAGUUUCGCUGGAAUGGUAUUGUGAAGCGUGCUUCUAAUCGUCUUCGGACAAUUACUUUGACUCUGGCCUCAAAUCAGGUAGGACUACCCGCUGAACUUAA